AUUGAACGCUGGCGGCAGGCCUAACACAUGCAAGUCGAGCGGUAGAGAGGUGCUUGCACCUCUUGAGAGCGGCGGACGGGUGAGUAAUGCCUAGGAAUCUGCCUGGUAGUGGGGGAUAACGCUCGGAAACGGACGCUAAUACCGCAUACGUCCUACGGGAGAAAGCAGGGGACCUUCGGGCCUUGCGCUAUCAGAUGAGCCUAGGUCGGAUUAGCUAGUUGGUGAGGUAAUGGUUCACCAAGGCCACGAUCCGUAACUGGUCUGAGAGGAUGAUCAGUCACACUAGAACUGAGACACGGUCCAGACUCCUACGGGAGGCAGCAGUGGGGAAUAUUGGACAAUGGGCGAAAGCCUGAUCCAGCCAUGCCGCGUGUGUGAAGAAGGUCUUCGGAUUGUAAAGCACUUUAAGUUGGGAGGAAGGGUCGUUACCUAAUACGUGACGAUUUUGACGUUACCGACAGAAUAAGCACCGGCUAACUCUGUGCCAGCCGCCGCAGUAAUAC
rnacentral:rRNA from 1 species